rnacentral:lncRNA from 1 species
CCCAUUGGGUUUGAGGAGGACUAGUAGAUUCGAUGGCAGUGCGCCAGGGAAAGGGCCAAGCUGUACAAGAAUACCCCCAUUAAAGUACCAAACAAAGGGUUCUACAAGCAAGCUAUUAUUCUGAGGAUCUCCAUUGAGGAGCAUCAAACCCUAAUGAAAGAUCUCUCCCCAUUAGCAACAGGGAAUCAUUUUCAAGCCACAAGAAGGGAUCUCCUACUGAACGAUAGGAAAGUGAGUUCUUCCAGUUGGCAUUCAUUAGUCCGGUU